GCUAAAUCAGACUAUUUUGAUUCAGAGUGGGGAGGAGAAACAAGGCAACAUUGGAACUGUUCACACAGCUACCUCACAGUGAGGUCUGCUGUCUUCUUUUCUGGCAUCUCCAUGAAGAGGUGCUGACUGAGAAGUUUACCGCUUUUUCUGAAGUGGUACUUUUUUAUGUUUAAGUCACUCAAAGUGUCACUGGAACCCACAGGUACCACUUCCAGGUCUGCCAGAUGCUAACCCUCGCACUGCCCAUGUCCCACCUGGUCCAGGAGUGUUUGAUGAUGAGGUUGCUGCAUUCAGGUUGCAUUGCUGCAACCAAAGAAAGCUUGCUAUUGUGAACUGGCAAGUAUGAGAAGAUGGACGCAAUUCCUCAUGCACUGGGGCUCAGCUCCAGGUAUUUUUUGAGGUAAGGAUAAAAGAACAUAUGUCAAGUUGUUUCUUGAUGCAA